CGCCGCAUUCUUAUUUCUUACGCAUUUCUUCGUCCGGACAAAGGUUUCGCACUCGUUUAGCAGACUAAACGAUGGUCGUGUAUGCGCGGCCACUUAUAUUCUGUAUUACUGCGAUUAAACUAAAGAUCCGAAAAGAUGAUUAGAGGAUUUCGGAAUUGGCUGACGUUCACCAUUAUCGGGUCAACGCUCACUCUUCGGCGCCGUAGACGACUCACAAUGACAUUUAACUAUCAUUACUAUUGACUACCAAAUAAACAAGAAUACUAUACAAUUUAUAAAGAUUGAACUUUCAGUAGCAACUACAAUAUCGUACAAUAAAAUCAUAGAAGUAAUAAUAAGCAAAAAAAAUAUCAUCUACAAACUGGCAAAAUGGAUAAAGAUGUUCUUUAAGUUUUUAACUAUCUUUGUUGUAAUGCUAGAUUACAGAUGCUUCAUUACCUUUGGGGCUAAGCAAUGUGAAAAUAGUUUGGCCCCCAUGUAAUGAUUUACAAAGAAAAAAAAAGAUGCUUUAUUACCGUCAAUUUCCAACUGACAAAGAACACGAGUUGUUUUCAUAGGUCGAACUAUGUACAUGGUUGACCAGUAUGAUUGUGUUGGUGUCAGAUCCUGACAUAAUUGAUAGCAGCCCAUUCUGCUUUGGCUGCAGUCAGCAUUUUCACCGGGGACGAAGAAAGGUGUCAGCACUUUGUCUAACGCAUAAACAGCAUUUAUAUAAAUAUUCAUUUUAUGAUCUGUAUUCCGAAUUGUGUGCCUAUAAUAUCAUUAAAAUUGAUUGAAGUUGUUGGUCGACA